CCUACGGGGGGCAGCAGUAGGGAAUCUUUCACAAUGGGCGAAAGCCUGAUGGAGCAACGCCGCGUGCAGGAUGAAGGCCUUCGGGUUGUAAACUGCUUUUAUAAGCGAGAAAUAUGAUGGUAACUUAUGAAUAAGGAUCGGCUAACUACGUGCCAGCAGCCGCGGUCAUACGUAGGAUCCGAGCAUUAUCCGGAGUGACUGGGUGUAAAGAGUUGCGUAGGUGGCAUAAUAAGUAGCUAGUGAAAUCUGGUGGCUCAACCAUUCAGACUAUUAGCUAAACUGUUAAGCUCGAGACCGUUAGGGGUAACUGGAAUUUCUAGUGUAGGAGUGAAAUCCGGAGAUAUUAGAAGGAACACCAAUAGCGUAGGCAGGUUGCUGGGACGGUUCUGACACUAAGGCACGAAAGCGUAGGGAGCAAACGGGAUUAGAUACCCGUGUAGUC
rnacentral:rRNA from 1 species